AGAGUUUGAUCCUGGCUCAGAACGAACGCUGGCGGCAUGCCUAACACAUGCAAGUCGAACGAGGUCCAGGGGAGCUUGCUCCCUGACGACCUAGUGGCGAACGGGUGAGUAACACGUGAGAAACCUGCCUCGGAGUGGGGAAUAACUCGGGGAAACUCGAGCUAAUACCGCAUACCUUCACAUGAUCGCAUGGUCGAGUGAAGAAAGAAUUUCGCUCUGAGAGGGUCUCGCGGCCUAUCAGCUUGUUGGUGGGGUAACGGCCUACCAAGGCGACGAUCCGUAGCUGAUCUUAGAGGAUGAUCAGCCACACUGGGACUGAGACACGGCCCAGACUCCUACGGGAGGCAGCAGUGGGGAAUAUUGGACAAUGGGCGCAAGCCUGAUCCAGCCAUGCCGCGUGUGUGAAGAAGGUCUUCGGAUUGUAAAGCACUUUAAGUUGGGAGGAAGGGCAGUAAGUUAAUACCUUGCUGUUUUGACGUUACCGACAGAAUAAGCACCGGCUAACUUCGUGCCAGCAGCCGCGGUAAUACGAAGGGUGCAAGCGUUAAUCGGAAUUACUGGGCGUAAAGCGCGCGUAGGUGGUUCAGCAAGUUGGAUGUGAAAGCCCCGGGCUCAACCUGGGAACUGCAUCUGUGACUGCAUAGCUAGAGUACGGUAGAGGGGGAUGGAAUUCCGCGUGUAGCAGUGAAAUGCGUAGAUAUCAUGAGGAAUACCAGAGGCGAAGGCGGCUACCUGGACAAUUGCUGACGCUCAGGCACGAAAGCGUGGGGAGCAAAAGGGAUUAGAUACCCCUGUAGUCCACGCCCUAAACGGUGCAUACUAGGUCUUGGCGGAUUCGACCCCACCAGGGCCCAAGCUAACGCGUUAAGUGUGCCGCCUGAGGACUACGGCCGCAAGGCUAAAACUCAAAGGAAUUGAC
rnacentral:rRNA from 1 species